rnacentral:rRNA from 1 species
AAAUUGAAGAGUUUGAUCAUGGCUCAGAUUGAACGCUGGCGGCAGGCCUAACACAUGCAAGUCGAACGGUAGCACAGAGAGCUUGCUCUCGGGUGACGAGUGGCGGACGGGUGAGUAAUGUCUGGGAAACUGCCUGAUGGAGGGGGAUAACUACUGGAAACGGUAGCUAAUACCGCAUAACGUCGCAAGACCAAAGAGGGGGACCUUCGGGCCUCUUGCCAUCAGAUGUGCCCAGAUGGGAUUAGCUAGUAGGUGGGGUAAUGGCUCACCUAGGCGACGAUCCCUAGCUGGUCUGAGAGGAUGACCAGCCACACUGGAACUGAGACACGGUCCAGACUCCUACGGGAGGCAGCAGUGGGGAAUAUUGCACAAUGGGCGCAAGCCUGAUGCAGCCAUGCCGCGUGUAUGAAGAA